CCACCUAUUCCCAUUAUCUGGCACAUCACUGUAAUAGACUAGAGUUUAAACUAGAGAUUUUGUUGCAACCAUCAACUGUUGAUUAAUUAAUUAAGUUCCGAGUGUAGAAUCUUUUAUUGUUGCUCAAUCAAUUUCAAAUUUAAUUUGUAAUCUGCCAGCAAGAAAUAUUUUAUCUCAUUCCGAGUAAUUAUUGAUAGAGACAGAUUGAGAGUAGGUUGAACUCUUUCUGUGUUUCUUUUAAUUUUAUCGUAAAUUGAAUCUCUGUGUAAGGCUCCUCAGUCGUAAUUGAACUUUCCAUAGUAGAUGGCUGUCGCUUCGAAGUUGUUCACUAGUUUGGUUAGCAUACAGGUGUUGAGUUAUUUGGUUAUUGGGCAAAGAGUAUUACUCUUAGGUGGACUCGACCCGGUGGAAUGAUCGAUUACAGUAAGCAUAAUUAGUUUCCCUUUCUCAACAGUAGCCAGCUGAAAUUGAAAAGAAAGACGCUUUGUUAAUUUUCGGCCGAUGCUCGAAAAUUGAAAGGCUGGAAAUAAAAACAAGCUGACUUUUCUCUGGAUCUCUGGAUGGAAAUAAUGGAUCGCUGCAGAAACCUCGAGAUGCUUGCCAUGACUAUCUAAGGCCAUGUUUACUUAGAUAUGACCUGUCCGUAAAUAAAAGCAACUUCAGCUAAUGGUUCAUCAACUGGAUUCUUACCGUUAUGAUGCUGAAUAUUUCCCCAAUCUAAAGAGACUCAAUAUCUACAAUGAUGAAGGUCGAUCAGAGGGAAUGUUUAAUGGACCAAAGCUUGAGAAGCUUAAAAUUCUGGAGAUGAGCCUUAUUUCAGAAGGAUAGAUGCGAUGAAUUUUAUGGAUUUGAAUUUAUGAACUUUUGCCCUGCAUCGGAAAGUGCUUAUCUGUUGCUAAAAUCAAAUAAACAUAUCGUAUCUACGUCAACUGUUAAUUACAAUAUGCGUGAUCUUGUUCUAAUCUAUGUAGGAAAAGCCUCGUUUAAAGCAUUCUAUUCUCCAAUAAUUACGACUGAUGCAAUAAUGAGCUUUAUUUCAUUUGCACAGCAAUCUGGAUGUGAACAAGAAUGGAACUCGUUGAGGACUAAUGCGAUAUCCCAUAUUAAAACACUAAGCUUUGCGUGAUAAUUUCCGAAUCUUUUGUUUACCAUGUUGAAAAGUUGGUCUGAGCUGAUGCUCGAAAAUCCCUCGAUUUUAUUCAACAUCUGACUGAAAAACAUAAUCGUACAAUUCGCUUGUAUUACAAUCUAAACGGUAAACAGAUGGCAAUGGAUCUACCUCAUAUAUCCCUUGAUAAGGAUUGUAUCGUCAAAGAAUUUUAUUACAUGCGGCACUGCUUAGCCAAAAAAUUGUUAAUCUCCCAUAUUUGAUGGGUGUUUAAGACAAAUUUGUAUCGACAGAGCCAUUACAUAUCAUUAACCAUUCAAUAAGGAACUCGAGAAAUCAAUUUAAUUUAUCAUUAUGAACUUUAAACCAUUCAUGUAAAUAUGCUUUCUGUUAGUUUUUCAAUUUUUUAUAUUAUUUUCGAUAUUACAUAUUUCAAACUAUCAA